GGACCGCCGGCCGGAUCUCCUCUCCUGGGCCCUGGCCGACGCCCGACGUCGCCGUCCUCGGCUGUCAGCUCCUCCCGUCCUCCAAGUUCCAACCUUCGGGCUUCGGCCGACGGAAGACCGGGCGAGUGGCUAGCCGCCAGCCCGCCGGCCGGAUCUCCUCUGAGAGGAGUCCUCUCCAGACUCCAGCUCUCCUCGCCGUCCUCGGCUCCUCCGAGGCUCCGACCUCCGGGCUCCGCCGCUCCGGCUUCCUCCGCUCCUCGGCACUCCGCAGUCCGCACUCGGCAGCUCGGCUCACUCCAACUCUCCAAGGACCAAAAUCCACCAUCCUCAGUCCUCACUGUCUCACUGAGUGUCUCUGUGUCUGAAUCACUGAUCGGCUGAUCCCAAAUUGGAUUCCCAAUUCCCGGUGUCCGGUUGGUUGUGACUUCGGCGAUUCGGCCUCUUCUCGCCGUCGAGUUCGGCACUAUUCGGCCUCUUCUCGACACAAUUAAGUUCGGCACUACUUGUCGGAUCCGAGUUUGUUUUUCUUGACACAAUCAAGUUUUUUAUAUUUUGAUUUAUUUGUGGUGUUUUUUUAAUUUCUUAGUUUGAUAAUAUUAUUUAUAGAUUAAAAUGUCUAAUAGAAAAUAUGACUGUGGAUAUGAAAAACUCAAAAAAAAAAAGAAAAAUCGAUAAACUCAUUCAAUCUCAAAAAGGAGCUCUAGAUAGAUUUGUUGUUACAAACAAACAAAAUACCACAUCAAAUUCAACUCAGGAAUUAGCAACAGAACAGACACCCGAAAUAGAGUUAAAAAAUGAGAUUGCUAGUGAAACACUAUCUAGUGAAGAGCACUAUGAAGAAUCAGAUGGAGAUAAGAUAAACAAGAAAAAAGAUUGUGGAACUAGUUCUAUUUCUACAAAUUUUUAUGAUCCUGGUCAAUGGAAAAAUA